GAAGUUAUAGUUUAACUAAUAAAAUUUUACAUUGUCAAAGUAAAGAUGUGGGUUUAAAUCCCAUUAAUUUCG
rfam:Theileria parva strain Muguga apicoplast, complete genome, whole genome shotgun sequence.